GAUGAACGCUGGCGGCGUGCCUAAUACAUGCCAGUCGAGCGAACAGACGAGGAACUUGCUCCUCUGACGUUAGCGGCGGACGGGUGAGUAACACGUGGAUAACCUACCUAUAAGACUGGGAUAACUUCGGGAAACCGGAGCUAAUACCGGAUAAUAUAUUGAACCGCAUGGUUCAAUAGUGAAAGACGGUUUUGCUGUCACUUAUAGAUGGAUCCGCGCCGCAUUAGCUAGUUGGUAAGGUAACGGCUUACCAAGGCGACGAUGCGUACCCGACCUGAGAGGGUGAUCGGCCACACUGGAACUGAGACACGGUCCAGACUCCUACGGGAGGAAGCAGUAGGGAAUCUUCCGCAAUGGGCGAAAGCCUGACGGAGCAACGCCGCGUGAGUGAUGAAGGUCUUCGGAUCGUAAAACUCUGUUAUUAGGGAAGAACAAAUGUGUAAGUAACUAUGCACGUCUUGACGGUACCUAAUCAGAAAGCCACGGCUAACUACGUG
rnacentral:rRNA from 1 species